rnacentral:rRNA from 1 species
GAUGAACGCUGGCGGCGUGCCUAAUACAUGCAAGUCGAGCGAACGGACGAGAAGCUUGCUUCUCUGAUGUUAGCGGCGGACGGGUGAGUAACACGUGGAUAACCUACCUAUAAGACCGGGAUAACUUCGGGAAACCGGAGCUAAUACCGGAUAAUAUUUUGAACCGCAUGGUUCAAAAGUGAAAGACGGUCUUGCUGUCACUUAUAGAUGGAUCCGCGCUGCAUUAGCUAGUUGGUAAGGUAACGGCUUACCAAGGCAACGAUGCAUAGCCGACCUGAGAGGGUGAUCGGCCACACUGGAACUGAGACACGGUCCAGACUCCUACGGGAGGCAGCAGUAGGGAAUCUUCCGCAAUGGGCGAAAGCCUGACGGAGCAACGCCGCGUGAGUGAUGAAGGUCUUCGGAUCGUAAAACUCCGUUAUUAGGGAAGAACAUAUGUGUAAGUAACUGUGCACAUCUUGACGGUACCUAAUCAGAAAGCCACGGCUAACUACGUG